rnacentral:rRNA from 1 species
UACGGGGGGAGCAAGGCGUUGUUCGGAUUUACUGGGCGUAAAGGGCGCGUAGGCGGCGCAACAAGUCACUUGUGAAAUCUCCGGGCUUAACUCGGAACGGUCAAGUGAUACUGUUGUGCUAGAGUGCGGAAGGGGCAACUGGAAUUCUCGGUGGUAGCGGUGAAAUGGCGUAGAUAUCGAAGAGGAACACCUGCGGCGAAGGCGGGUUGCUGGGCCGACACGUGACGCUGAUGCGCGAAAGCCAGGGGAGCGAACGGG